UACUUGCAAAUAUUUCUACCAUUCCAGAAUCUAUCGAAAGCAGUUUGAGCAAGCCAACAUCUCUCAGAGCAUUUGUACAAUUCGACAGUCAAUUUACAGAAAAAGUAAACGACAUUUUUGUGACAUUGAGAUGGAACCAACCAGAAUUUGCCAAUGAAAUAAU